GGAUGUGAGGGCGAUCUCGCUGCGACAUCUGUCACCCCAUUGAUCGCCAGGGUUGAUUCAGCUGAUCUGACUGGCUAGGCGGGUGUCCCGUUCCUCCCUCACUGCUCCAUGUGCGUCCCUCCUGAAGCUGCGCGCUCGGUCGAAGAGGACGACCAUCCCCGAUAGAGGAGGACCAUUCUUCGGUCAAGGGUAUACGAGUAGCUGCGCUCCCCUGCUAGAACCUCCAAACAAGCUCUCAAGAUUGCUAAGCAGGCUCUCCUACCACUUGAGUCAUGCCUCCAGUCCAUUUUGCUCUGGUUAUUUUGGAGAUGG
rnacentral:sRNA from 1 species